GACGAACGCUGGCGGCGUGCUUAACACAUGCAAGUCGAACGGAAAGGCCCUGCUUUUGUGGGGUGCUCGAGUGGCGAACGGGUGAGUAACACGUGAGUAACCUGCCCUUGACUUUGGGAUAACUUCAGGAAACUGGGGCUAAUACCGGAUAGGAGCUCCUGCCGCAUGGUGGGGGUUGGAAAGUUUCGGCGGUUGGGGAUGGACUCGCGGCUUAUCAGCUUGUUGGUGGGGUAGUGGCUUACCAAGGCUUUGACGGGUAGCCGGCCUGAGAGGGUGACCGGCCACAUUGGGACUGAGAUACGGCCUAGACUCCUACGGGAGGCAGCGGUGGGGAAUAUUGCACAAUGGGCGGAAGCCUGAUGCAGCAACGCCGCGUGCGGGAUGACGGCCUUCGGGUUGUAAACCGCUUUCGCCUGUGACGAAGCGUGAGUGACGGUAAUGGGUAAAGAAGCACCGGCUAACUACGU
rnacentral:rRNA from 1 species